GUACCCGUACCCCAAACCGACACAGGUGGGUGGGUAGAGCAUACCUAGGGGCGCGUGGUAACUCUCUCUAAGGAACUCGGCAAAAUGGCCCUGUAACUUCGGGAUAAGGGGUGCCUGCGUGAGCAGGCCGCAGUGAAAUGGCUCUGGCGACUGUUUACCAAAAACACAGGUCUCUGCUAAGUCGUAAGACGAUGUAUAGGGGCUGACUCCUGCCCAGUGCCGGAAGGUUAAGGAAGUUGGUUAGCGCAAGCGAAGCUGGCGACCGAAGCCCCGGUGAACGGCGGCCGUAACUAUAACGGUCCUAAGGUAGCGAAAUUCCUUGUCGGGUAAGUUCCGACCCGCACGAAAGGAGUAACGAUCAGAGCGCUGUCUCGGAGAGAGACACGGCGAAAUAGGAUUGUCCGUGAAGAUACGGACUACCUGCACCCGGACAGAAAGACCCUAUGAAGCUUUACUGUAACUUGGAAUUGUGUUCGGACUUUGUCUGCGCAGAAUAGGUGGGAGGCUAUGAAACGUUCCUCGCGGGGAACUGGAGCCAUCGUUGAGAUACCACUCUGGCAGAGUCUGGAUUCUAACCUACGGGGACAGUUCCAGGUGGGCAGUUUGACUGGGGCGGUCGCCUCCUAAAAUGUAACGGAGGCGCGCAAAGGUUCCCUCAGGCUGGUUGGAAAUCAGCCAUAGAGUGUAAAAGCAUAAGGGAGCUUGACUGUGAGACCUACAAGUCGAGCAGGGACGAAAGUCGGCUUUAGUGAUCCGACGGCACUGAGUGGAAGGGCCGUCGCUCAACGGAUAAAAGUUACUCUAAGGAUAACAGGCUGAUCUCCCCCAAGAGUUCACAUCGACGGGGAGGUUUGGCACCUCGAUGUCGGCUCGUCGCAACCUGGGGCGGUAGUACGUCCCAAGGGUUGGGCUGUUCGCCCAUUAAAGCGGCACGUGAGCUGGGUUCAGAACGUCGUGAGACAGUUCGGUCCAUAUCCGGUGUAGGCGUAGGAGCAUUGAAAGGAUCUCUCCUUAGUACGAGAGGACCGGGAGGGACGUACCUCUGGUGUACCUGUUAUCGUGCCAACGGUAAACGCAGGGUAGCCAUGUACGGAGUGGAUAACCGCUGAAAGCAUCUAAGUGGGAAGCCCACCUUAAGAUGAGUGCUCCCUUGAGGCCACGGGAAGACGACCCGUUUGAUAGGCGCUAGGUGGAAGUGCAGUAAUGCAUGCAGCCGAGGCGUACUAAUAGGCCGAUGGC
rnacentral:rRNA from 1 species